GCCGACAGCUAGCUCUCUGCAUCUCUCACUUGGUCACCCACUGAAGCUAAGCAGGGCUGUGCUCAGUUAGUACCUGGAUGGGAGAUCACAUGGAAAAACUAAGUUGCUUUCCGGA
ensembl:rRNA 5S_rRNA 5S ribosomal RNA